GACGAACGCUGGCGGCGUGCCUAAUACAUGCAAGUAGAACGCUGAAGAGAGGAGCUUGCUCUUCUUGGAUGAGUUGCGAACGGGUGAGUAACGCGUAGGUAACCUGCCUUGUAGCGGGGGAUAACUAUUGGAAACGAUAGCUAAUACCGCAUAACAAUGGAUGACACAUGUCAUUUAUUUGAAAGGGGCAAUUGCUCCACUACAAGAUGGACCUGCGUUGUAUUAGCUAGUAGGUGAGGUAACGGCUCACCUAGGCGACGAUACAUAGCCGACCUGAGAGGGUGAUCGGCCACACUGGGACUGAGACACGGCCCAGACUCCUACGGGAGGCAGCAGUAGGGAAUCUUCGGCAAUGGGGGCAACCCUGACCGAGCAACGCCGCGUGAGUGAAGAAGGUUUUCGGAUCGUAAAGCUCUGUUGUAAGUCAAGAACGAGUGUGAGAGUGGAAAGUUCACACUGUGACGGUAGCUUACCAGAAAGGGACGGCUAACUACGUGCCAGCAGCCGCGGUAAUACGUAGGUCCCGAGCGUUGUCCGGAUUUAUUGGGCGUAAAGCGAGCGCAGGCGGUUUGAUAAGUCUGAAGUUAAAGGCUGUGGCUCAACCAUAGUUCGCUUUGGAAACUGUCAAACUUGAGUGCAGAAGGGGAGAGUGGAAUUCCAUGUGUAGCGGUGAAAUGCGUAGAUAUAUGGAGGAACACCGGUGGCGAAAGCGGCUCUCUGGUCUGUAACUGACGCUGAGGCUCGAAAGCGUGGGGAGCGAACAGGAUUAGAUACCCUGGUAGUCCACGCCGUAAACGAUGAGUGCUAGGUGUUGGAUCCUUUCCGGGAUUCAGUGCCGCAGCUAAUGCAUUAAGCACUCCGCCUGGGGAGUACGACCGCAAGGUUGAAACUCAAAGGAAUUGACGGGGGCCCGCACAAGCGGUGGAGCAUGUGGUUUAAUUCGAAGCAACGCGAAGAACCUUACCAGGUCUUGACAUCCCGAUGCUAUUUCUAGAGAUAGAAAGUUACUUCGGUACAUCGGUGACAGGUGGUGCAUGGUUGUCGUCAGCUCGUGUCGUGAGAUGUUGGGUUAAGUCCCGCAACGAGCGCAACCCCUAUUGUUAGUUGCCAUCAUUCAGUUGGGCACUCUAGCGAGACUGCCGGUAAUAAACCGGAGGAAGGUGGGGAUGACGUCAAAUCAUCAUGCCCCUUAUGACCUGGGCUACACACGUGCUACAAUGGUUGGUACAACGAGUUGCGAGUCGGUGACGGCAAGCUAAUCUCUUAAAGCCAAUCUCAGUUCGGAUUGUAGGCUGCAACUCGCCUACAUGAAGUCGGAAUCGCUAGUAAUCGCGGAUCAGCACGCCGCGGUGAAUACGUUCCCGGGCCU
rnacentral:rRNA from 1 species